UACUACUUUAUUUGAGAUAUAUAAUUUUACUACAAUUAAGUAAAUUUUUUGGAUACUUUCAUUUACAGGAAACAAUAUAAUGCAAACAGCAUAUAAGACUUAAGUAGUACUUUUGCGUGUACAAAUUAAAUUAAACAUAUCUAGAAAUUAGGACCAAUCUUAUCGUUGUGAGAAGAAUGACCAAUACCCGGGCUGUGUCCUGAGGCUUCACCAUCAUCUCCUUCAAUUAGUGUCUUUGGUUGUUUAGAAUUAUUUGGUUUAGGGCCUUUAGUGGAAUGUCCCAUACCAGGGCUAUUACCUGUUUCUGUAGUAAUUACAACAACCUCUGAAAUUUGGUCUAGUGAUGUUGGUGCGGGAUAUUGUCUUCCUUCAGUUUUUAGAACUUGAUGACAUGCAAUUAUUGUAAGAAAAAAAGUACUAACACAAAUUUGUUGGAUACAGGCCAUAACAAGAUAGGGUAAGAGAAAUUAUCUGAAGAGGUUUGCUAGUAUGAAAUGUUUGUAAAAAUAUUGCCUAUCUCUUUUGUUUGUGAAUGAAACACACUUGAAGGAAACGAGGG
rnacentral:lncRNA from 1 species